rnacentral:rRNA from 1 species
GCUGCGGAGGAGUUCAGGCCCUAUCAGCUUGUUGGUGAGGUAACGGCUCACCAAGGCUGCGACGGGUAGCCGGCCUCAGCGGGUGACCGGCCACAUCGGGACUGAGACACUGCCCGGACUCCUACGGGAGGCUGCAGUUUGGAAUAUUUCGCAAUGCGCGAAAGCGUGACGAAGUGACGCCGCGUGGGGGAUGAAGGCCUUCGGGUUGUAAACCUCUUUCGCUCGUUAAGAAAUCACCAUGGACCAAUAAUCCAUGGUGUUGACAAAGGCGAGUAAAGAAGCACCGGCUAACUCCGUGCCAGCAGCCGCGGUAAUACGGAGGGUGCAAACGUUGUUCGGUGUUAUUGGGCUUAAAGGGUGCGUAGGCGGCCAGGUAAGUCAGGUGUGAAAGCCCUCGGCUUAACCGAGGAAUAGCGCUUGAUACUGCCGGGCUCGAGGACCAAAGGGGAGAGCGGAACUCCAGGUGUAGCGGUAAAAUGCGUAGAUAUCUGGGGGAACGCCGAAGGCGAAGGCAGCUCUCUGGGUGGUUCCUGACGCUGAGUGCACGAAAGCUGGGGGAGCAAACAGGAUUAGAUACCCUGGUAGUCCCAGCCCUAAACAAUGGGCACUAAGUAGAGGCAGGGCUGAACCUGUCUCUGCCGAAGCAAAAGCAUUAAGUGCCCCGCCUGGGGAGUACGGUCGCAGGCUGAAACUCAAAGGAAUUGACGGGGGCUCACACAAGCGGUGGAGCAUGUUGUUCAAUUCGAUUCAACGCGAAGAACCUUACCCGGGCUUGAAAUGCGCGGAUUAUCCGGCCGAAGGGCCGGUACGCCUUCACGGGUGGAACGUGCACAGGUGUUGCAUGGCUGUCGUCAGCUCGUGUCGUGAGAUGUCGGGUUAAGUCCCAUAACGAGCGAAACCCCUGUCCCUAGUUGCCAGCGGUUCAGCCGGGGACUCUAGGGAGACUGCCGGUGUUAAACCGGAGGAGGGUGGGGACGACGUCAAGUCAUCAUGGCCCUUAUGUCCGGGGCGACAAACGUGCUACAAUGGUCGGUACAGAGGGAAGCGAGACCGUAAGGUGGAGCAAAUCCCAAAAAGCCGGCCUCAGUUCGGAUUGAGGGCUGCAACUCGCCCUCAUGAAGCUGGAAUCGCUAGUAAUCGCGGAUCAGCCAUGCCGCGGUGAAUACGUACCUGAGCCUUGUACACACCGCCCGUCAAGCCACCAAAGUCGGGGG